GAUGAAGAACGCAGCGAAAUGCGAUAAUUAAUGUGAAUUGCAGAAUUCCGUGAAUCAUCGAGUCUUUGAACGCACAUUGCGCCUCAUGGCAUUCCGUGAGUCAUGCCCAUCUCAGCGUUAGAAAAUAUUCUCAAAUUUUAGUUUUGUGCUAAAAUUUGGAUCAUGUCAAGGAAGCUAUUACUAUUAUUGUGAUCGCUCUUUGGAAAUUGAUAGGUCUUUGAGUUGCUACUCAUAGAACGUGAUGAAUCUUUCUUCGUUCUAUUGUAAUUCACUCUGGUAGUCCUAAAACUUGUAUGCCUGUGGCAUAUCUUGUAAUUUGACCUGAGAUUGGGUAGGGAUACCCGCUGAACUUAAGCAUAUCAAUAAGCGGAGGA
rnacentral:misc_RNA from 1 species